rnacentral:lncRNA from 1 species
CUUUGGGCUAAAUGUAACUGAAAUGAUAAUUCAAAAUGGCUUAAGCAAUGAAGACAUUUAUUAUCUCCUUAACAGGGAAUCUAGAAUAGGGUAGGCUUCAGGGUUGGCUGAUGCAGCAGCUCUGCAGUUUUGUCAGAGCCAGGUUCCUUAGAUGACAUUUUCUACCAUCCACAGAGUUAGUGUCAUCCUAAGGUUGGUGUCAAUUAGGGCAAUGGUCGUCCUUCUUCUCAUCUAGUAAGACAGACGAAGAUACGAUGGGGUCUAAGUUCUUCUUGUCAGUUUCCUUGGCCAGGCUUGAUCAUAGGCCCACGCUGAACUGGUAAUUGUGGCAGUGGGAAAGACAUGCACUUCUUGGUUUAGAGUCCAGAGGUUUCCAUCUUACGCUGAGAAUGGGUUACACAUGUAGAGAUAUUGAUCCCUUCAGGCCUUAGGGCUGCCAUUUUUUCUUGCCCCAAAGCCACUGUCGCAUCUCGCCAGUCAUCUCCAAGCAGAGUGGCCUCUUCCUUUUAUCCUACAGGCUAUACAAGCACUGUUUUUUUUUUUUAAUUCGUCACAUCACAAAAAAAUCUAGAAGCAUUGGCUUAGGUGAUGGAUACAGUCCCUUUCCAGAAGCAUGGAGAUGUGUAGAACAGAAGUAUAUCUCUUACUAAUAUCAGGGUAAGAAGGAAGAAGGGGUCAUGGAUGAUGCAUACAAAACUUCCAUGCCCACAGGAUAUAAAUAAAAUCCAAAUCUGAUAAUCAUUUAUUAGACCUAUAAAAAUCAAGUCAAAAUUUCCUCAAAAGAUUGAAAAAUCCUUAAAAUGGUGAAGAAGAUUGCCAAGCCAAGAAAGGGCACUGAAUGAAUGUAAAGUCUUUCAAAGUGUGAUUGUUUUAGGUAAAGCAAUCUGAUGAAUUCUUCUGUUUUCAUAUUACAUACAAUAUGUUUAUGUUUCAGUAUCUCUCAUGUGCUUUCGUGAUUUUGAUAUCUUUAAUAGAGUAUUUAGAUAUUUUAUUGUUUAAGAGUAGAUGAUACUUAGAAAGCAUUCAUCCAUGUCAGGCAAGAACUGUAUUAAUUCAUUUAAUCUUCACUAUAGGCCCAUGAUGAUAUACAAUUUUUAAAUCCAUUUUGCAGAUGAGAAAAUUGAGAAAUAGAGAGGUUAAUUAAUUUGCCCAAUAAAACACAGCUAGUAAGCACCAGAACCUGUGACUGAACCCAGAAAAUUUAGUUUCCAAAUUGUUUUUAUUAUAAGUUGAUUCAGGAUGCUCUGGAAGACACAGUGGUCUAAUCCAGUGGGUACUAAAUGUUUGUCUAUGAGCUGCAAUAAAAAAAUAAAAUGUUUAUUAUAACUUAAUGCACACACACUAAAAAAUCUUAAAACAAUACUUACUAUGGAGGCAAGCAUUCUGCUAUUUCUGUUCCAUUCCAUUCUCUUCUUUGUUCUAUUCUUUUUUUUUUUUUUUUUGAGACAGAGUCUUGCUCUGUCACCCAGGCUGGCAUGCAGUGUCCUGAUCUCAGCUCACUGCAAGCUCCACCUCCCAGGUUCACACCAUUCUCCUGCCUCAGCCUCCCAAGCAGCUGGGACUACAGGCGCCCGUCACCACACCCGGCUUUUUUGUAUUUUUAGUAGAGAUGGGGUUUCACUGUGUUAGCCAGGAUGGUCUCGAUCUCCUGACCUCGUGAUCCACCUGCCUUGGCCUCCCAAAGUGCUGGGAUUACAGGCGUGAGCCACCACGUCUGGCCUGUUCUAUUCUUUAAAAAAUCAGCUGUGACCCACAAAAUUAAUUCUAGGACUAGUAAUGGGUCACGAUAAACAAUUUUUAAAGCCCUGGUAAUAUAAUAGGAUUGAAUACAGCAAUUACGGGGAUGACUUAGAUGCUCAAUGGUUGUUUUAGUCUGUUUGCGCUACUGUAACAAAAUGCCAUAAACUGAAUAGCUUAUAAAGAACAGAAAUUUUUUCUCACAGUUUUGAAGGCUAGGCAGUCCAAAAUGAAGGCACCAGCAGAUUCAGUGUCUGGUGAGGACCUGUUCCUGGUUCAUAGACAGCCCUCUUCUCUCUGUGUCCUCACAUGGUCAAAACGGAGAGGAGGCUCUCUGGAAUACCCUUUAUAAGAGCACUGAUCCCAUUAAUGGGGGCUUCACUCUCAUAACCUAAUCACCUCCCAAUGGCCCCACCUCCUGAUACCAUCACCUUAGGGGUUAAGAUUUCAACAUAUGAAUUAGGAGGGUUAGGGGAGAAACUUCAAACCAUAGCAGUGGUCAUUUUUGAGCCAGAGGUCUAGUUCAGGAAGAACACGGAGGUGGCAGGCUGAAGAUUAAAGGCAUAACUGGGUUCCAAAGGAAACUGAUCUCAAGGUUCCAAGAGAACUUUGAAGGGUUUUGAGUUGUGAGUAAUUAACUGGAUAUAAGAGCUGGGAGUCAGUAGCAAAUAGUGGAAAACCAAUCAAAGGUAUGUGGAUGAGACCACUGGGGAAGAAUGUGUGAAGUGGGAAGACAAGAGGCCCAGAACAGAACUGCAAGGAAUAGCAGUGUUUAUAAGAGGAGGUGAAGAAGUGCCUGCUGGAGAGGAAACUGUGGAACUGGAGUAGGAGGAGGCCACAGGGAAGCAUGGUGUCAACAGAAGCCAAGAAGGUUUGGAGAUGUAGCUGGUGUCAGCUACAGCAAAGUGAUCACAUAUCAGAGGUGCUGAAAAUAGUUUGUUGGAUCAGUAUUUAUGAUUCAAUAGCAUAUUAAUUUAUUCUCAUGCUGCUAAUAAAUACAUACCCAAGACUUGGUAAUUUAUAAAGAAAAAGAUUUUUAAUGGACUCAGUUCCACAUGGCUGGAAAGGACUCACAAUCAUGGUGGAAGGCGAAGGAGGAGCAAAGGCAUGUCUUAACAUGGUGGCAGGCAAGACAGUAUGUGCAGGGGAACUGCCCUUUAUAAAACCAUCAGAUCUCAUGAGACUUUUUCCCUAUUACAAGAACAGUACAAACAGACAAAAAUUCCAUGCUCACAGAUAGGAAGAAUCACUAUUGUGAAAAUGACCAUACUGCCCAAAGUAAUUUAUAGAUUCAAUGCUAUUCCCAUCAAGCUACCAUUGACUUUCUUCACAGAAUUAGAAAAAACUACUUUAAAUUUCAUAUGAAACCAAAAAAGAGCCAUAUAGCCAAGACAAUCCUAAGUAAAAAGAAUAAAGCUGGAGACAUCAUACUACCUGACUUCAAACUAUACUGCAAGGCUACAGUAACCAAAACAGCAUGGUACUGGUACCCAAAGAGAUAUAUAGACCAAUGGAACAGAACAGAGGCCUCAGAAAUAACACCACACACCUACAACUGUCUGAUCUUUGACAAACCUGACAAAAACAAGAAAUGGGGAAAGGAUUCCCUAUUUAAUAAAUGGUGCUGGGAAAACUGGCUAGCCAUAUGCAGAAAACAAACUGGACCCCUUCCUUAAACUGUAUACAAAAAUUAACUCAAGAUGGAUUAAAGACUUAAACAUAAAACCUAAAAUCAUAAAAACCCUAGAAGAAAACCUAGACAAUACCAUUCAGGACAUAGGCAUGGGCAAAUACUUCAUGACUAAAACACGAAAAGCAAUGGUGACAAAAGCCAAAAUUGACAAAUGGGAUCUAAUUAAACUAAAAAGCUUCUGCACAGCAAAAGAAACUAUCAUCAGAGUGAACAGGCAGCCUACAGAAUGGGAGGAAAUUUUUGCAAUCUAUCCAUCUAACAAAGAUCUAAUAUCCAGAAUCUACAAGGAACUUAAACAAAUUUAUAAGAAAAAAAAUAACCCCAUAAAAAAGUGGGCAAAGGAUGUGAACAGACACUUCCCAAGAGAAGACAUUUAUAUGAUCAACAAACAUAUGAAAAAAAGCUCAUCAUCAGUGGUCAUUAGAGAAAUGCAAAUCAAAACCACAAUGAGAUACCAUCUCAUGCCAGUGAGAUGACAUUGAGGGUCUUAAUUGACCACAAAACUCAAUAUGGAUGAAAAUAUGAAGUAGCUACCAGAAAAUUGAAUGCCAUUUUAGACUGCAUUAAUAAAAAAUUGUGUCUGGAGAAGGUUUUGGAGUAUUGCACCUACAAACCAUCUAUAAACAAUUAUAAAACAAUGAAGGCCAUGUGCUCAAACUAGUCAAAAACUAAAAUAGAAAGAAAAAUAGGAUAGAGAAGGAGAUGGCCUUUGAAAUGGGCCUUGAAAUAUUCGUAGAAUUUUGAUAGGUAGAGAUGGCAGUCAGACAUUCCAAACUGACUUAAUGUGUUUUUGUUUUUGUUUUAAUUUUAGAGACAGGGUCUCACUCUGUCACCCACACUGGAGAGCAGUGGUACAAUUAUGGCUUAUUGCAGCCUCAAACUCCUGGGCUCAACAGAUCCUCCUGCUUUAGCCUCCCAAGUAGCUAGGGCUACAGGCACAAGCCAUCAUGCCCUGAGGGUCAGCUGCAGCCCUGUUUUAGAAAUAGUUUGGAAUCAGGGGCUAGAACAGCAGCCAGGAUUCUGGCUUUCUCUCUCACCUCACUGUUGUCUUCAUGCCUGCUUCAUUCAUCUCUUUUUGCAGAUUGGCAUCCUCUGCUUCUGCAGAAAACAUGGCUACCAACAGCUUCUGUAUCCACCUGCGGAGGAGACUGACUGCUCUGUUAUUCCCCCAGCAUCUGUGAAGAGGCUCUGACUGGCUAAAGUGUUGGUAUAGUGAUCACCCCAGGGUUAGGCAACCAUGGCUGGUGAAAAGGAAAAACGUUAUGAACCUGGCUGUGCGGAGCUACCUGAGGAAGCUUGUAGGAGAAGGGUCAGUUUGCAGAGAAAGGGGGGCCUGGGCAGAUGACGCAAGAGGUGCCCAUUACAUCCCUCUAGAGGUGAGCUGUCUAAAAUGGUAGGCACUGGCCACCUGUACUUAUUUAAUUGUAAAUGUAAAUUUCUUAAAAUUUCCUUAGACACAUUAGCCUCAUCUCGAGUGCUCAAUAGCCACAUGUUGCCAGUGGCUACUGUAUUGAGCAGUAAAGAUAUAGGACAUUUCCCUCAUUGCAGACAUAGUGGACACCUCUCCUCUAGAGUUAUCUGUGGUUCUACCAGCAAAAGCCCAGGUGUUCCAGCUAGAGAAACAGCAAAUUUCUCUGGGACAUGAACAACUAGAAAACAUCUCACCUUGUCCUCCAAUAACUUGGAAAGAAUUUUUUUUGGUUGGAGACCCCAGAACUGGUUCUUGCUUUUGUUUGUUUGUUUGUUUGUUUUGUUUUGUUUUUGAGACAGUGUCUUGCUCUGUCACCCAGGCUGGAGUGCAGUGGCGUGAUCUAGGCUCACUGCAACCUCCGCCUCCUGGAUUCAAGGGAUUCUCGUACCUCAGCCUCCUGAGUAGCUAGGACUACAGGUACACACCGCCACGCCCAGCUAAUUUUUGUGUUUUUAGUAGGGAUGGGGUUUUGCCAUGUUGGCCAGGCUGGUCUCGAACUCCUGCCCUCAGGUGAUCCACCCACCUCAGGCUCCCAAAGUGCUGGGAUUACAGGCGUGAGUCACCAUGCUUGGCCUGGUUCUUGAUUAUAUCCGAUUUGAGCACUGAGCAAAGCCUCCUAAUCUCAUCAUGCCUGAAUUCUUAGACUACCUUACCCCCAAAUUUCAAAGAUAAUUAAUUCAGUCAUCCAUCUCAUCUUUGUUACGCCAGGAUACCAGACAAAUGCAAUUCCUUUUAGUUAACUGUCUUGUCCAGUUCCCGUAAUGUUCCGUUUCUUCUGCUGGUUUCCUUCUUAGUCUUGUCCAUUAUGCCUUAUCAAAACUUUACAUGGCAGAGAUGGCUAGCUGUCCCCUAAAAUUCAGCAUCCCCUUUCACAGUGUAGAGAUGUCAGUUGAAUUUGGCUGCCCAGCCAGGAACCGCAUCUUCCAGCCCUUCCUGCAUCCAGAUUAUGCCAUGUGACUAGUUUUCAUCAAUGAAAUGAGAAAGAGAUUUAUGUCACCUCCCAGAUGGGGUUUUUUAAAAGCAUGAUUGUUUUCUCUACUCUCUUCCCCUAUCUGAAUAGGAAGGAGUCUGUAGCUUUAGGGGAAGACAGAGCCACAAGAUGGAAGGAGCUUGGAUGUCUGAACUAUUCCAUGGAGAAAAGCUGCAGCCAACGAAGAACACCUGCAAUGGACUCUUAACCUGGGGGUGACGACAACCACUGAAAUAUGCUGCAUCUUAGUCCAGGGAUUUUUAAAGUGUGGUUCCUGGAAGAGCUGGAUCAGAGUCAUCUGUGUUGAUGGUUUAACAUAAAGAUUUUCGAGCCCCAAGACUCAAGUAGGACAAGGAAUUUGAAUUUUUAAGCAGCUCACCUGACUUGUCUGUCCUCUAAUGUCUGAAGACAUCUGACCUCUGCUCUUUCAGUAAAAGCAACAAUGGUUUUAUGAGCAUUGUCGUCACAUCUCUCCACUCAAGGGAUCCUUCUCAUUUCUCCCAGCUGAGGUCACCCACAGCUGCUGCUUCUAACUGCUGGCUUCCAGCCUGCUGUCUGCCAGCUGGCUCUACCCUCUCCUAUAACACGGCAGAGAGUAGCUGUGGUCUCCUGCGUGCUCACCCUCUGCUCCCUUGGUCCUGCUCCAUGCUUUGGUCCUGCACUUAAAUUUUACAAGCAUACUCUCUUUCUCUUAAGAUGAAGGAGCUGAGGCUGGAGAAGUUAAGAGACCCCUGCUAGAUAGGAAGGCACGUGAGAAGUAUACUGCUCUGUCUCCUGUGGAGUAAAAAGACUUUGGCGUUCUCAGAAGAAAACCAAAUGAGAUCACACGAAUGAGACUGCUGGAGCAAUCUAAUGCAAAUAUCUACUACAGAUUAUCAAAAGGAAAAAAAAAGGAGGGGAUAGGGAAGCUUAAGGGAGGAGUGCUGUGAAGAAUGUUGUCAUUUCUUCUGGACUGCUACUAAGUAAAAGUUAUCUUCUCACCUCACUCACCAAUUCCUGCCUUAGUACCACAGCAAUUAUCUUUGCCUAAACACAUUAACGGGGAAAAAUGUUCAGGCUUUUGGAGAAGAGCUACAAGUGGUGGACGGUGGCCACAGUGAAGAGUGGGGUAACUUAGACUAAACACUAUAGGAGCCAUCAGAAGAAAUUUUUCCAAACUGCAGCUUAUUACAUGGGUCACACAAGGACAGUUUGCAGCAUAAGGACAGCUAGCUGCUUAUACAAGAACAUGUGCCUGACACAGUCUCACAAGCCCAGUCCAAAACUACAAGGGCCUAACUGUAACUCCAGGAUUACAAGUCCUACCUAAUAACUAUUGACACUCGCCAGUCAGAACUCACCAGCUCUUUUGUUGCUGCCAGCACCAAUAAGCUUUCUUCCAAAACCAACGCAUAGCCUCCGCCUUUCCCAAUAAACUCUAACCUUUUCCUU